GGACUCAUAGCUCAGUUGGUUAGAGCGCUACGUUGACAUCGUAGAGGUCGUUGGUUCGAAUCCAAUUGAGUCCAUCA
rnacentral:tRNA from 1 species